UACGUAGGGUGCAAGCGUUAAUCGGAAUUACUGGGCGUAAAGCGUGCGCAGGCGGUUAUAUAAGUCAGAUGUGAAAUCCCCGGGCUCAACCUGGGACCUGCAUUUGAGACUGUAUAGCUAGAGUACGGUAGAGGGGGAUGGAAUUCCGCGUGUAGCAGUGAAAUGCGUAGAUAUGCGGAGGAACACCGAUGGCGAAGGCAAUCCCCUGGACCUGUACUGACGCUCAUGCACGAAAGCGUGGGGAGCAAACAGG
rnacentral:rRNA from 1 species